UCCCUGGUGGUCUAGUGGUUAAGACUCCACGCUUUCACUGCCAAAGGCCUGGGUUCAAUCCCUAGUCGGGGAA
rnacentral:tRNA from 1 species